rnacentral:snRNA from 2 species
AGCUCUUCUUUGCCUUUUGGCUUAGAUCAAGUGUAGUAUCUGUUCUUUUCAGUUUAAUCUCUGAAAGAUGCCUAUUGGCAUCAAUCUUGAUUAUUCCUAUUUUUGAUUCUCGAAGUCCGGCCUCUGUGGCUUGCUGCAUGCCGACUUCACCGUGUCCCUGGUAUUUCACUGCCUCCAGGAGACGCAAACCGUG